GGGCUCGUAGCUCAACGGUAGAGCGCACCAUUCGCUGUGGUGAGGCUUCGGGUUCAAAUCCCGACGAGUCCA
rnacentral:tRNA from 1 species